UGGGGAAUUUUGGACAAUGGGGGAAACCCUGAUCCAGCAAUGCCGCGUGUGUGAAGAAGGCCUUCGGGUUGUAAAGCACUUUUAUCGGGAACGAAACGGUGUCGGUUAAUACCCGGCAAAACUGACGGUACCCGAGGCAUAAGCACCGGCUAACUCCGUUCCAGCAGCCGCGGUAAUACGGAGGGUGCAAGCGUUAAUCGGAAUUACUGGGCGUAAAGCGUGCGCAGGCGGUUUGUUAAGUCUGCUGUGAAAUCCCCGAGCUCAACUUGGGAAUUGCAGUGGAGACUGGCAAGCUAGAGUACGGUAGAGGAAGGUGGAAUUCCCGGUGUAGCAGUGAAAUGCGUAGAGAUCGGGAGGAACACCAGUGGCGAAGGCGGCCUUCUGGACCAGUACUGACGCUCAUGCACGAAAGCGUGGGGAGCAAAC
rnacentral:rRNA from 1 species